rnacentral:rRNA from 1 species
UACGAAGGGGGCUAGCGUUGCUCGGAAUCACUGGGCGUAAAGGGGGCGUAGGCGGGUCUUUAAGUCAGGGGUGAAAUCCUGGAGCUCAACUCCAGAACUGCCUUUGAUACUGAAGAUCUUGAGUUCGGGAGAGGUGAGUGGAACUGCGAGUGUAGAGGUGAAAUUCGUAGAUAUUAGGAAGAACACCGGUGGCGAAGGCGGCCCACUGGCUCGAUACUGACGCUGAGGUGCGAAAGCGUGGGGAGCAAACAGG